rnacentral:tRNA from 1 species
GUUCGUGUGUUGCAGUGGUUUCAGCAGACCUGUUUCCGGCGCAGGAGGUCCUGGGUUCGACUCCCAGCUCGAACU